rnacentral:rRNA from 1 species
AUUGAACGCUGGCGGCAUGCCUUACACAUGCAAGUCGAACGGUAACGGGCCUUCGGGUGCCGACGAGUGGCGAACGGGUGAGUAAUGCAUCGGAACGUACCUUUCAGUGGGGGAUAACGUAGCGAAAGUUACGCUAAUACCGCAUAUUCUGUGAGCAGGAAAGCAGGGGAUCGCAAGACCUUGCGCUGAUUGAGCGGCCGAUGUCAGAUUAGCUAGUUGGUGAGGUAAAGGCUCACCAAGGCGACGAUCUGUAGCGGGUUUGAGAGGAUGAUCCGCCACACUGGAACUGAGCCACGGUCCAGACUCCUACGGGAGGCAGCAGUGGGGAAUUUUGGACAAUGGGGGCAACCCUGAUCCAGCCGUGCCGCGUGAGUGAAGAAGGCCUUCGGGUUGUAAAGCCCUUUCGGUCGGGAAGAAAUCGCAUGGGUUAAUACCCUGUGCGGAUGACGGUACCGGCAUAAGAAGCACCGGCUAACUACGUGCCAGCCGCCGCGGUAACAC